UUGGCCUAAGCGUCCGUAGCCGGCCGAGUAAGUUUCCCGUUAAAUCCAGCGUCUCAAGCGUUGGGCUGCGGGAAAUACUGCCCGGCUAGAGAGUGGGAGAGGUAAGCGGUAUUCUGGGGGUAGGGGCGAAAUCCUUUGAUCCCCGGAGGACCACCAGUGGCGAAGGCUGCUUACUAGAACACGUCUGACGGUCAGGGACGAAAGCUGGGGUAGCGAACCGGAUUAGAUACCCGGGUAGUCCCAGCCGUAAACGAUGCACGCUAGGUGUUGGGUCGGCCACGCGCCGCCCCAGUGCCGCAGGGAAGCCGUUAAGCGUGCCGCCUGGGGAGUACGGCCGCCAGGCUGAAACUUAAAGGAAUUGGCGGGGGAGCACAAGC
rnacentral:rRNA from 1 species